rnacentral:rRNA from 1 species
CGUAGGGUGCAAGCGUUAAUCGGAAUUACUGGGCGUAAAGCGUGCGCAGGCGGUGAUGUAAGACAGUUGUGAAAUCCCCGGGCUCAACCUGGGAACUGCAUCUGUGACUGCAUCGCUGGAGUGCGGCAGAGGGGGAUGGAAUUCCGCGUGUAGCAGUGAAAUGCGUAGAUAUGCGGAGGAACACCGAUGGCGAAGGCAAUCCCCUGGGCCUGCACUGACGCUCAUGCACGAAAGCGUGGGGAGCAAACAGGAUUAGAUACCCUGGUAGUCCACGCCCUAAACGAUGUCAACUGGUUGUUGGGUCUUCACUGACUCAGUAACGAAGCUAACGCGUGAAGUUGACCGCCUGGGGAGUACGGCCGCAAGGUUG